UACGGAGGGUGCUAGUGUUAUUCGGAAUCACUGGGCGUAAAGAGCACGUAGGCGGAUAGGUAAGUCAGAUGUGAAAUCCCGGAGCUCAACUUCGGAACUGCAUUUGAUACUGCCUGUCUUGAGUGUGGUAGAGGGGGAUGGAAUUCCCGGUGUAGAGGUGAAAUUCGUAGAUAUCGGGAGGAACACCAGAGGCGAAGGCGAUCCCCUGGGCCACUACUGACGCUGAGGUGCGAAAGCGUGGGGAGCAAACAGG
rnacentral:rRNA from 1 species